AUGAACGCUGGCGGCGUGCCUAAUACAUGCAAGUCGAGCGAACGGACGAGAAGCUUGCUUCUCUGAUGUUAGCGGCGGACGGGUGAGUAACACGUGGAUAACCUACCUAUAAGACUGGGAUAACUUCGGGAAACCGGAGCUAAUACCGGAUAAUAUUUUGAACCGCAUGGUUCAAAAGUGAAAGACGGUCUUGCUGUCACUUAUAGAUGGAUCCGCGCUGCAUUAGCUAGUUGGUAAGGUAACGGCUUACCAAGGCAACGAUGCAUAGCCGACCUGAGAGGGUGAUCGGCCACACUGGAACUGAGACACGGUACAGACUCCUACGGGAGGCAGCAGUAGGGAAUCUUCCGCAAUGGGCGAAAGCCUGACGGAGCAACGCCGCGUGAGUGAUGAAGGUCUUCGGAUCGUAAAACUCUGUUAUUAGGGAAGAACAUAUGUGUAAGUAACUGUGCACAUCUUGACGGUACCUAAUCAGAAAGCCACGGCUAACUACGUG
rnacentral:rRNA from 1 species